GUGCUCUAUGAAAGUGAAGAAGAUUAGCAUCCUCUUUAACAAUGGAAAGCAGUCUAGUUGUCUCAACCACACGUACCCAGUUCAGCCAUUACCACCUCUUUGUGGCACCUCACCGUGUUUUU